UUGGAGGGCAAGUCUGGUGCCAGCAGCCGCGGUAAUUCCAGCUCCAAUAGCGUAUAUUAAAGUUGUUGCAGUUAAAAAGCUCGUAGUUGAAUUUCGGGAUCAAUUUAUUGGUCGUGCUAUUGUACGUACUGGUAUUAUUGAUUCCUACCUUCUGACGAACCAUGAUGUCAUUAAUUUGGUGUCAUGGGGAAUCAGGACUGUUACUUUGAAAAAAUUAGAGUGUUUAAAGCAGGCUCACGCUUGAAUACAUUAGCAUGGAAUAACGAAAUAGGACGUUUGAUUCUAUUUUGUUGGUUUCUAGGAUCGACGUAAUGAUUAAUAGGGAUAGUUGGG
rnacentral:ncRNA from 2 species